GACGAACGCUGGCGGCGUGCUUAACACAUGCAAGUCGAACGGUAAGGGCCUGUUGUGGUGGGGUGCUUGAGUGACGAACGGGUGAUUCACAGGUGAGUAACCUGCGCUGGAGGUUGGGAUAACUAAAGGAAACUGGGGCUAAUACCGGAUAGGAGCAUCAGCUCGAUGGUGGGGGUAGGAAAGUUUAGGCGGGCUGAGUUGGAGCCGCGGGUUAUAAGCUUGUUGGUGGGGGAGUGGCAUACCAAGGCAUUGACGGGUAGCCGGCCUGUGAGGGUGGCCGGGCACAUGGGGACUGAGAUACGGCCCAGACGGCUACUGGAGGCAGCAGUGGGGAAUAUUGCACAAUGGGCGGGAGCCUGAUGCAGCAACGCCGCGUGCGUGAUGAGGGCCUUCGGGUAGUAAACCGGUUUUGGCUAUUACGAAGCGUGAAUGACGGUAAUGUGUAAAGAAGCACCGGCUAACUACGUG
rnacentral:rRNA from 1 species